rnacentral:rRNA from 1 species
AGAACGAACGCUGGCGGCAUGCCUAACACAUGCAAGUCGAACGCUUUGCCGGUUUCGGCCGGCAAGGAGUGGCGCACGGGUGAGUAGCGCGUGGGAACCUGCCCUGUUGUGGGGGAUAACCGAGGGAAACUUCGGCUAAUACCGCAUAAGCCGGUUGUCUUGAAAGAGAUGGCCGGGAAAGAUUUAUCGCGACAGGAGGGGCCCGCGUCGGAUUAGCUAGUUGGCGGGGUAACGGCCCACCAAGGCUGUGAUCCGUAGCUGGUCUGAGAGGAUGAUCAGCCACACUGGGACUGAGACACGGCCCAGACUCCUACGGGAGGCAGCAGUGGGGAAUAUUGGACAAUGGGCGCAAGCCUGAUCCAGCAAUGCCGCGUGAGUGAUGAAGGCCUUAGGGUUGUAAAGCUCUUUCGCCCGCGACGAUGAUGACGGUAGCGGGAGAAGAAGCCCGGCUAACUUCGUGCCAGCAGCCGCGGUAA